ensembl:lncRNA
CUCGACCGCGCCCCCCGCGCCGUCCCUCGCCACGCCCGCUCUCCCCUAACCCUGUUCCCUGGACAGGUGCCCUCCGGCCUCUUCAUCCCCAGCAUGGCGGUGGGCGCCCUCGACCGCGCCCUCGACCGCGCCCUCGCCUCGACCACGACCGCGCCGCACCGCGCCCUUGACCACGCCCUUGACCACGCCCUCACCGCGCCCGCGCCGCGCCCUCGCCGCUCUCCCCUAACCCCUGUUCCUGGACAGGCCCUCCGGCCUCCUCAUCCCCAGCAUGGCGUGUGCGCCCUCGACUGCACCGCGCCCUCGCCGCGCCCUCGCCGCGCCCGCGCUCCCCUAACCCCUGUUCCCUGGACAGGUGCCCUCUGGCCUCUUCAUCCCCAGCAUGGCGGUGGCCGCCAUCGCCGCGCCCUCGACCGCGCCCUCGCCGCGCCCUCGACCACGCCCUCACCGCACCCGCGCCGCGCCCGCGCUCCCCUUACCCCUGUUCCCUGGACAGGUGCCCUCCGGCCUCUUCAUCCCCAGCAUGGCGGUGGGCGCCAUCGCCGGGCGGCUGCUGGGCGUGGCCGUGGAGCAGCUGGCGUACUACCACCACACGACUGGGUGAUCUUCCGGGGCUGGUGCUCGCCGGGCCGGACUGCA